UGUGUAGUUUUGCAGGCAGUCUGGGUCAUCGGAAGUCCUGUUGACUCUCCUGUGAGAACACACACACCACUCAGGAAGUGAAGGAGAUUCAGCAAUGCCUAAGGAUUUCCUCCUCAUCUGAGGAAACUGAUGUGAGAACCUACAGAAAGCCUGGUCUUUUCUCAUGUUCUCCUGAAUAGAGCAUAUAUAAAACAGAUAGAUGAUGUUCUCCUCCGCUUGUACGCUGGAGUCACCGAGGUGACCUAGUCACUUGAUUUCCAUGUAGAAAUUGAUUAGAUGUGCCUUUAUUGAAGGAGAUAUGCCACUGAGGACAGGCUUUUAGGUUUCAGAAAACCUGAGCAGGCAUUCCUAUCUGCCCCUGCUUGUUGAUCAAGAGGGGAAAGGAGACUAAAAACCAAAAGACUACACACACUGAGCAUCAGAUGUAAACUGUCCUAUGCUGAGUAUGACAGGUAACACGUCUGGCCAAUAGUUAAAGAGAUGCAUGGGCAUCCCGUGAACCAAACUGCAGAAAAUGGUACAGCCAUAGCCUGAGUCACGUAGAGUUGCUGGAGUUUGCAAAGUGAUCUGGCUUUAUUCUAAAGUCAGGAGAAGCCGAAAGCAGAUUAUAGGCAUGCGAAUAACAUCAUCUUAUGACGGACCACUUAAAGAACCAUCUGGUUUGACUGUAGUGAAUGUAUCAGAUAAGUCCUCCUAAAUCCAGCCUUUCUUUAUCUGUGUUUAACUACAUCCAGAGUUAAACAAGAGGCUGUGAAAGGGCUAACCUCUCACAGGGUGUAAUGCUUUAAAGGAAUCUGUUUCUUUUGGAAAAUAUUGAAGACCAUAAAAUGUUUAAAUAUUGGUACAUUGCCCAUAAAAUAAUGAUUGCCAAGAGGAUUCUGAAAUCCAUAUCAGGAACAAAAUGUUCUUUUCUCUACAGAAUACAGUGGACGGUAAUAAAAUUCUCUCUCUCUCUCUCUCUCUCUCUCUCUCUCUCUCUCUCUCACCUUUAUAGUUACUAGUUUGUUUAAAUAGCACAUUUUGUUAUCACUGUAAAAAAAAAAAACACUGACAUAUUUUUCUUGUAUUUCAAUCAAGUAUUUUACACAGAGGCCAAAGAGUCAGGCCUACUGUAAGCUCUAUUGUCCUUAUUUUAAUUUUCUUCUUCCAUUAGACUUCACUUAAUUCUUUUACUUUGUAUGAAUGUUGCAUGAACUUGAAUGUGCAGGUACAUGCACCUGCAUGCAUGCAUGCAUACAAAGGACAAUGCAGGACUGCAAGUGUUUUUCAAUAUCAUCACACCCCUGCCCCAGUGUAUUGCCUUGAGACAUGCUCUGUCACUGAAUUAGAAGCUCGCUGUUUGGAUAAGCUUGGAUGGGCAGGGAGAUUUGGGGACUCACCUGUCUUCACCCAUUACCUCUAAUGCUGAGGUUAUAUGCUAUAUGCAUACACUGCCAUGACUGACUUUUUACAUGUGUGCUGAAUGUUUAGAUUCAGGUCCUUAUGCUUGUAGAUCAAGUGCUUCCACUGUGCCACUCCAUCAAGUGCAUACAUACACUGUUUCUCUGGCCCUUUCAAUUAUCUUCUAGCAGAUGAUAAAACUCCCUUCCCUAAGGUUCAUCAGGAUGCAAUUGACACAAUAGAUAGUAACUUCAUUUCCUAGUAUAUUUUAUGAGUUCUUUGAUAAUUUCAUGCAAUGUGUUUUGUAUUACUGGUUUGUUCCUCAUGGCUUGUUCAGCCUUCUUUCUUACACAGUUCAGAUCUGUGGGGCCACUGUGGGUGGUGGUGCCUCCCCUGGGUGGGGCCCUCCUGUAUCACUCAGUAAUCAAGAAAAUGCCCUCCAGAUUUGCACACAGACCAAUUUGGUGACGAUAUUUUCUCUAUUGAGAUUCCCUCACUUCCAGAUGAUCCUAGCAAAAACUAGCAAUCAUACAUGUCAUCUGGUGUUAUCUUUGUGCCUCAAAGUGACUAUAGCAGUGCAAACUGAGGAUUCCUCCCUCACUGUUAUUGUGGGUCUAUCUCCAAAGCUUCUUUUUUUGUUUUGUUUUCCUAUUUAGGAUAAAUUUUACUUUAAAAAAAUUCUGAUUCUCGUUGGCUUACAGAGAGGUAUCUUACCCAGAAAUCUUUGUUGAGUCUAUUUCUCUCUUGUAUAUUUUCAUCUCUUGUAAAACUUAAGCUGUACUUCAUCUUCUAAUGUCCAAAGGAUAACUUCAAAUGUAAAUAUUUUUCUGUAUGAAUGUAAAUGUGAUACUUCUGUAUAUAUGUGUGGAUCUCAUGAUGACAGAUAUUUUUUGCUAUAAUAAAAAUAUAUUCAUCAAUAUACACUAUUGAUGUCAGGAGCUGGGGAGAUUGGAGUUAGCUUAAGCUGUUCAGCCCACACAGCAGUGCAAUUUUACUGUGGUUGGAACUCAUAAAAUUUGGGGAAGUGUGGAAAACUUCAAUUUUGUAAUGCUUUGAAGUACUUCUAUGUGUUAAUAUUUCUUGUAACUUUCUUGCCAUGUGAUGACUAUAUUAUUUGCCUCAAUAUGAUAGAAUAAAUUAAGUAAAGUAAGCU